rnacentral:rRNA from 1 species
CUACGCACUCCUACGGGAGGCAGCAGUGGGGAAUAUUGCACAAUGGGCGCAAGCCUGAUGCAGCCAUGCCGCGUGUAUGAAGAAGGCCUUCGGGUUGUAAAGUACUUUCAGCAGUGAGGAAGGUGGGUAUGUUAAUAGCAUAUUCAUUUGACGUUAGCUGCAGAAGAAGCACCGGCUAACUCCGUGCCAGCAGCCGCGGUAAUACGGAGGGUGCGAGCGUUAAUCGGAAUUACUGGGCGUAAAGCGCAUGCAGGUGGUUUGUUAAGUCAGAUGUGAAAGCCCGGGGCUCAACCUCGGAAUUGCAUUUGAAACUGGAAAACUAGAGUACUGUAGAGGGGGUAGAAUUUCAGGUGUAGCGGUGAAAUGCGUAGAGAUCUGAAGGAAUACCGGUGGCGAAGGCGGCCCCCUGGACAGAUACUGACACUCAGAUGCGAAAGCGUGGGGAGCAAACAGGAUUAGAUACCCUGGUAG